GAACACUUCAAUUUGGAAAAUAAGAAGACCACAAAGAAAAAUGCUUUUACUUUUCUUCGUGGGGCUCAAAGAGGCAAGAAUAGGCUAAUUUUGAAAUUAAAGUCACGUACAAACUUUGAAUCCAUUCUAACUGACCUUACACUUGAUACAUGGCCGGCAUUCUCAAUUACGCCGCCAUAUUCGAGAACAUGCCGGCCUCCAUAUUGAAUACCACCAUUGAGAGUUACUUGGAAGCUUCGUAGUCGGUUAGAUAAACUAUCGAAAUCAAUUGAUGGCGGCCCAAUCAUGUGAAAAUUGGAUUGCUUGGCAGUUUGUUUGGAUCUCGUAUCUUCUGCCUCAAGGACAAAUUAUGUUUUUAUUUUGAUGAUUUUUCGGCACCGCCGACGACAGUCAUAGAAUUUUAAAACGCAGUCAAGUGGAUUUGCACAGAAUUUUUAUGGUAGCAAAGAAGAUUUGGUAAAGUAUAAAAGGACCCGGUGUGUUUGCGAAUAGCAUCAGAUCAUUCAUAAACGUCUUUCAGAGCUCAAGCGUUAAAAAUCAUAGAAAAAUGUUCAAACUCGCAUUCCUCCUUGUUUUGGCCCUCAUCGUUGCUGUCGCUGUCGCCAUCCCACGACCUCAGGUAGUAUAUCCUGGAUACGGAUACUCCUAUGGAACAUAUGGAUACCCAGGUGUGACCGCUUACUCCUCACCCUACUAUUAUUACGGAUGAAUAAACAGGAUGGAUGCGUAGGGCUUAAUGUUGGUUCUAACCGUUGACGACUUGUAAAUAAUUUCUGCUGAACGUAUUAUCGUUUAAGAUAAAUAAAUAUUUUGCAUUGAA